rnacentral:rRNA from 1 species
GAUGAACGCUGACAGAAUGCUUAACACAUGCAAGUCUUUGGCGAAUCUGUGCUUGCACAGGCUAGCCAAGGCGGACGGGUGAGUAACGCGUAAAGAACUUGCCCUGCAGACAGGGAUAACAGACGGAAACGACUGAUAACACCUGAUACAGUUGCCGGCACGCAUGUGCCUGGCAAUGAAAAGAGAUGCUGCAGGAGAGCUUUGCGUCCUAUUAGCUUGUUGGUGAGGUGACGGCUCACCAAGGCGAUGAUAGGUAGCCGGCCUGAGAGGGUGAACGGCCACAAGGGGACUGAGAUACGGCCCUUACUCCUACGGGAGGCAGCAGUGGGGAAUAUUGGACAAUGGGCGCAACCCUGAUCCAGCAAUUCUGUGUGCACGAAGAAGGUUUUCGGAUUGUAAAGUGCUUUCAGCAGGGAAGAAGAAAGUGACGGUACCUGCAGAAGAAGCGACGGCUAAAUACGUG